CAGUAGCCGCGGUAAUACGAAGGGUGCAAGCGUUAAUCGGAAUUACUGGGCGUAAAGCGUGCGUAGGCGGUUUGUUAAGUCUGUUGUGAAAUCCCCGGGCUCAACCUGGGAAUGGCAAUGGAUACUGGCAAGCUAGAGUGUGUCAGAGGAUGGUGGAAUUCCCGGUGUAGCGGUGAAAUGCGUAGAGAUCGGGAGGAACAUCAGUGGCGAAGGUGGCCAUCUGGGACAACACUGACGCUGAGGCACGAAAGCGUGGGGAGCAAACAGGAUUAGAUACCCCCGUAGUCCCUGUCUCUUAUAC
rnacentral:rRNA from 1 species